AGGAGCAUAGUUCAAUGGUAGAAUAAAGGCCUCCAAAUCCUCUGAUGUGAGUUCGAUUCUUACUGCUCCUGCCA
rnacentral:tRNA from 1 species